AGUUGAUCUACCGAUUCAACACAGGCCCUGUCAAAAUCCCAGCUGGCUUUUUUGCAGAAAUGGAAGAGCCCAGCCUAAAAUCCAUAUGGAAAUGGAAGGGACCAAGAACAGCCAAAACCAUCUUGAAAAAGAGCAAGGUUGCAGGACUCACGCUUUCUGAUGUCGAAACUCAGCACAGCCAAGACUCAGUGCUGCUGGCGUGAAGAUGGACUCACAGGUCAAUGGAAUAGAAUUGAGAGCCCAGAAAUCAACUCACCUUUGUGGACAGUUGAUUUCAGACAAGAGUGCCACAAUUCAGUGGGAAAGAACAGUCUUUCGACAAAUGGUAUUGGUAGAAAUGAACAUCCACUUUCAAGAGAAUGAAGUUAGACCCUUGCCUCACAUCAUCUACAAAAACUAAUACAGAUCAAAGACCUAAAUAUUAAAGAGCUAAGGCAAUAAAAAUCUAGAGUAGGGCACUGGCAUGGUGGCACAGCGGUUAAAUGUGCAUGUUCCACUCCGGCAGCCAGGGGUUCGCUGGUUCACAUCCUGGAUGUGGACAUGGCACCUCUUGGCAAGCCGUGCUGUGGUAGGCAUCCCACAUAUAAAGUAGAGGAAGAUGGGUACGGAUGUGAGCUCAGGGCCAGUCUUCCUCAGAAAAAAGAGGAGGAUUGGCUGAUGUUAGCUCAGGGCUAAUCUUCCUCAAAAAAAAAAAAAAAAUCUAGAAAAAACAUAUAAAUCUUCAUAACCUUGGAUCAGGCAGUGUUUUUUUAGAUAUGAAACCAAACCAUAGCAACCAAAACAAAGGUGACUUGGACUUCGUCAAAAUUAAACAUGUUUGUCCUUCAAAGGAUACUAUCAGGAAAGUGAAAAGACAGCCCACAGAAUAAGAGACAAUAUUGCAAAUCAUAGGUAAGAGUCUAGUAUACAGAAUACAUGAAGAACUCUUUGAACUUAACAAUAAAAAGACAAAAACUCAAUCAAAAAUUGGGCAAAGAUUUUGAGUAGAUAGUUCUCCAGAAAAGAUAUACAAAUGGCCAAUAUGCACAUGAAAAGAUGCUCAAAAUCAUUAGUCAUCAGGAAAGUGCAAAUCAAAACCACAAUGAGAUACCGCUUCACCCCCACUUGGAUGACUAUUAAUCAAAAAGACAGACGAUUCCAAGUGUUAGCAAGGAUGUGGAGAAUUUGGAACCCUUGUAAGCUGAAGGUACUGCGAAAUGGUGCAGUUGCUGUGGAAACCAGUUUGGCAGCUCAUCAGAAAGUUAAAUGCAGAUUUACUGUAUGACCAAGCAGUUCCAUUCCAAGGGUGUCCGCUGCGCCUCAGCCUGCACCUGAACCUGCUCUCUGACCACCUCAAGAGUGCUCCUUGGUGACAUUUCUCCCAGACUUGGCCUCUUUGGUGAUUCUCGCCUGAACGCAUUUUCCCUCUAGUGGCUGCGAAAUGAUGAGUGAGCCCCAUCUCCAGAGCGCCCUGCAGUCGACCGGUUGGCCCUCGGCAUCCUGACUGUGGGAAGGGGCCUGUCUUCUGCCCUCGUGUGCAUCUGUUAUUGGCACAGACGCGUGGGUUCUUGUUUCCAACAGUCUGUAACACGUUACUGUCCUGAGUGAGUUUGGUGCUCAGAUUGUCCCAGAUUUUGCCAGCGGGAGCCCCUUCAGCCUGCUCUGUGUCCCGUGACACGCCUCCCUGCAUCGCAAGAUGGUCCGGAAUCAUCUCGUACCUACCCUGCCCCAGCUCCAGGGUCAGACAUUUCUUUGAGGGGCCCUGGUUCCUUUUAGAGACCAAGAUCUGAGUGCUAGGUGUGCUUAUGGCUUCUGGGGUAUCUUUGCCUCUUGGCCCUUUCAGGGGACAGAGCUAGAAAACGUGCACGUGCAUACACACAUGCACACGCACGUGCACAUUUGUAUGUGACAGCGCAUACCUCGUUGAGUUGUAAGAGGCUGAGGGAAUGUGUAUUAAAAAAAACCAAACAGCAACACAGGCCAGCACCUGAGACAUAGAACUCAGUCAAUUUAGCUAUUAUCAUUAUUAUUAUUAAAAACUUUGCUAUCAAUGGGAAAUUUAAUUCUCUACGUGCCAUGGGUGAAACCCCAUGUGCGGUUUGGGGUCCAGAGCGAGGGGCAGCUGACUUACCCCUUCGCUCGAGGCGGUGGACAGCUGCGCCAAGUGGCCAGGCUUCUGCUCUGGAGUGCGAGGUGCGGACAAGCCCAACAGCUGCUCCUCCGUGUUGCUGAACGUAUGAGCAUUCCCAGAGAGCGCGGAGAUGACUCCUCGAUGGAGACAGACAGCGCUGAGCCGAGGCUGACACGUGAGACGGGUAAAUGCUGGGU
rnacentral:lncRNA from 1 species